AGGAAAAGAAACCAACAGGGAUUGCCCUAGUAACGGCGAGUGAAGCGGCAACAGCUCAAAUUUGAAAUCUGGCGCAAGCCCGAGUUGUAAUUUGUAGAGGAUGCUUCUAGGUAGCGACCGGUCUAAGUUCCUUGGAACAGGACGUCAUAGAGGGUGAGAAUCCCGUAUGUGACUGGCCCGCACCUUCUACGUAGCUCCUUCGACGAGUCGAGUUGUUUGGGAAUGCAGCUCUAAAUGGGAGGUAAAUUUCUUCUAAAGCUAAAUACCGGCCAGAGACCGAUAGCGCACAAGUAGAGUGAUCGAAAGAUGAAAAGCACUUUGGAAAGAGAGUUAAAAAGCACGUGAAAUUGUUGAAAGGGAAGCGCUCACAACCAGACUUCUAGGCAGUGUUCCGCCGGUCUUUUGACCGGUCUACUCUCUGUCUCGAGGCCAACAUCAUCUGGGACCGCUGGAUAAGACCUUAGGAAUGUAGCUCCCCUCGGGGAGUGUUAUAGCCUCUGGUGAUGCAGCGAGUCUCGGGUGAGGUCCGCGCUUCGGCAAGGAUGUUGGCGUAAUGGUUGUCAGCGGCCCGUCUUGAAACACGGACCAAGGAGUCUAACAUCUAUGCGAGUGUUCGGGUGUCAAACCCCUACGCGUAAUGAAAGUGAACGGAGGUGGGAAGCGUAAGCUGCACCAUCGACCGAUCCUGAUGUCCUCGGAUGGAUUUGAGUAAGAGCAUAGCUGUUGGGACCCGAAAGAUGGUGAACUAUGCCUGAAUAGGGUGAAGCCAGAGGAAACUCUGGUGGAGGCUCGCAGCGGUUCUGACGUGCAAAUCGAUCGUCAAAU
rnacentral:rRNA from 1 species